rnacentral:rRNA from 1 species
GACGAACGCUGGCGGCGUGCCUAAUACAUGCAAGUUGAGCGAUGAAGAUUGGUGCUUGCACCAAUUUGAAGAGCAGCGAACGGGUGAGUAACGCGUGGGGAAUCUGCCUUUGAGCGGGGGACAACAUUUGGAAACGAAUGCUAAUACCGCAUAACAACUUUAAACAUAAGUUUUAAGUUUGAAAGAUGCAAUUGCAUCACUCAAAGAUGAUCCCGCGUUGUAUUAGCUAGUUGGUGAGGUAAAGGCUCACCAAGGCGAUGAUACAUAGCCGACCUGAGAGGGGGGUCGGCCACAAUGGGACUGAGACACGGCCCAAACUCCUACGGGAGGCAGCAGUAGGGAGUCGUCGGCAAUUGACGGAAAUCUGACCGAGCAACGCCGCGUGAGUGAAGAAGGAUGUCGGAUCGUAAAACUCUGUUGGUAGAGAAGAACGGUGGUGAGAGUGGAAAGCUCAUCAAGUGACGGUAACUACCCAGAAAGGGACGGCUAACUACGUG